rnacentral:rRNA from 1 species
GACGAACGCUGGCGGCGUGCUUAACACAUGCAAGUCGAACGAAGUGGCGAACGGGUGAGUAACGAGUAAUCAACCUGCCCUUCGGAGGGGGACAACAGUUGGAAACGUCUGCUAAUACCGCAUACUGAAGAAGGUGAUUGCGUCUGAGUAGCUCGUUGGAUGGGUAACGGCCCACCAAGGCGAUGGUCAGUAGCCGGGUUGAGAGGGUGAACGGCCAAAUUGGGACCGAGACACGGCCCAGACUCCUACGGGAGGCAGCAGGGGGGAAUUUUCCGCAAUGGACGAAAGUCUGACGGAGCAACGCCGCGUGAGUGAUGACGGCCUUCGGGUUGUAAAGCUCUGUUAAUCGGGACGCGGUACCGGAAGAGAAAGCCACGGCUAACUACGUGCCAGCAGCCGCGGUAAUUC